GCGGGGGUCGCCAAGUCAGGUUAAAUCAGAGAUUUAACCCGCUUCGAUUCGCGGGCGAAUCUCAGAGACCAAAGGCGCAGGGUUUAGGACCCUGUCCCGUAGGGGUUCGUGAGUUCAAAUCUCACCCCCCGCA
rnacentral:tRNA from 1 species